rnacentral:rRNA from 1 species
AUGAACGCUGGCGGCGUGCCUAAUCCCUGCAAGUCGAGCGAACGGACGAGAAGCUUGUUUCUCUGAUGUUAGCGGCGGACGGGUGAGUAACACGUGGAUACCCUACCUAUAAGACUGGGAUAACUUAGGGAAACCGGCGUUAAUACAGAAUAAUAUUUUGAACCGCAUGGUUCAAAAGUGAAAGACGGUCUUGCUGUCUCUAUAGAUGGAUCGUCGCUGCAUUAGCUAGUUGGUAAGGUAACGGCUUACCAAGGCAACGAUGCAUAGCCGACCUGAGAGGGUGAUCAGCCACACUGGAACUGAGACACGGUCCAGACUCCUACGGGAGGCAGCAGUAGGGAAUCUUCCACAAUGGGCGAAAGCCUGACGGAGCAACGCCGCGUGAGUGAUGAAGGUCUUCGGAUCGUAAAACUCUGUUAUUAGGGAAGAACAGAUGUGUAAGUAACUGUGCACAUCUUGACGGUACCUAAACAAAAAGCCACGGCUAACUACGUG